rnacentral:rRNA from 1 species
UACGGAGGGUACAAGCGUUAUCCGGAUUCACUGGGUCUAAAAGGGUGCGUAGGUGGGUUGGUAAGUCUAGUGGUGAAAUCUCCGUGCUUAACAUGGAACUGCCAUUGAUACUAUAGAUCGUUGAAUUUUCUGGAGGAUAGCGGAAAUAUGUCAUGUAGCGGAUGAAAUGCUUAGAUAUGACAUAGAACACCGAAAUUGCAAGGCGCUAUCUAACAGGGAUAUUGAC